UAAAGGGACAUGAAACCAGUAGCGGUUUUUGGCACGAGCGAACCGGGCAGCCGCCCGGGGCGGCAUUUUUUCAUGAUACAUGGGGGGCGGCACGAGCAGUUAAAAA